AACGUAGGAGACAAACGUUAUCCGGAAUUACUGGGCGUAAAGGGCGCGUAGGCGGCCUGUUAAGUCGAACGUGAAAUCCCCGGGCUCAACCCGGGAACUGCGUCCGAUACUGGCAGGCUUGAAUCCGGGAGAGGGAUGCGGAAUUCCAGGUGUAGCGGUGAAAUUCGUAGAUAUUCGGAGGAACACCAGUGGCGAAGGCGGCUCACUGGCUCGAUACUGACGCUGAGGUGCGAAAGCGUGGGGAGCAAACAGG
rnacentral:rRNA from 1 species